UCGAGCGGAGAUAGUUGGAGCUUGCUCCAUCAUUCUUAGCGGCGGACGGGUGAGUAACACGUGGGCAACCUGCCCUGCAGAUCGGGAUAACUCCGGGAAACCGGUGCUAAUACCGAAUAGUUUGCGGCCUCUCAUGAGGCCACACGGAAAGACGGUUUCGGCUGUCACUGCAGGAUGGGCCCGCGGCGCAUUAGCUAGUUGGUGAGGUAACGGCUCACCAAGGCCACGAUGCGUAGCCGACCUGAGAGGGUGAUCGGCCACACUGGGACUGAGACACGGCCCAGACUCCUACCGGAGGCAGCAGUAGGGAAUCUUCCGCAAUGGACGAAAGUCUGACGGAGCA
rnacentral:rRNA from 1 species